CCCUUAGAUGUCCGGGGCUGCACGCGCGCUACACUGAAGGAAUCAGCGUGCUAAAACCAUUGUCGAAAGGCAUUGGUAAACCCAUUAAAAUCCUACGUGAUUGGGAUCGGGAAUUGCAAUUAUUUCCCUUGAACGAGGAAUUCCCAGUAAGUGUGGGUCAUAAGCUCGCGUUGAUUACGUCCCUGCCCUUUGUACACACCGCCCGUCGCUGCCCUGGACUGAGCCGUUUCGAGAAAAGCGGGGACUGCUGCUGUCGGGGCUUUCGGGCCUUGGCUUCGGUGGAAACCGCUUUAAUCGCAGUGGCUUGAACCGGGCAAAAGUCGUAACA
rnacentral:rRNA from 1 species